rnacentral:rRNA from 1 species
GACGAACGCUGGCGGCGUGCUUAACACAUGCAAGUCGAACGGAAAGGCCCUGCUUUUGUGGGGUGCUCGAGUGGCGAACGGGUGAGUAACACGUGAGUAACCUGCCCUUGACUUUGGGAUAACUUCAGGAAACUGGGGCUAAUACCGGAUAGGAGCUCCUUCUGCAUGGUGGGGGUUGGAAAGUUUCGGCGGUUGGGGAUGGACUCGCGGCUUAUCAGCUUGUUGGUGGGGUAGUGGCUUACCAAGGCUUUGACGGGUAGCCGGCCUGAGAGGGUGACCGGCCACAUUGGGACUGAGAUACGGCCCAGACUCCUACGGGAGGCAGCAGUGGGGAAUAUUGCACAAUGGGCGGAAGCAUGAUGCAGCAACGCCGCGUGCGGGAUGACGGCCUUCGGGUUGUAAACCGCUUUCGCCUGUGACGAAGCGUGAGUGACGGUAAUGGGUAAAGAAGCACCGGCUAACUACGUG